CGCACCUUGCGCCCUUUGGUAUUCCGAAGGGCAUGCUUGUUUGAGUGUCAUUAUAUUCUCAACCUUGAUGGGCUUGCUAUUCAAGGCUUGGAUGUGAGGGUUUGCUGGCUUCCUUAAGUGGAGGUCUGCUCCCUUUAAAUGCAUUAGUGAGAUCUCUUGUGGAUCGGUCACUUGGUGUGAUAAUCUAUCUACGCCGCUUGACUGUGAAGCAAAACCUAUGGGAACUUGCUUACAACCGUCUUCGGACAGCUUCUUUAUGUUUGACCUCAAAUCAAGUAGGACUACCCGCUGAACUUAA
rnacentral:misc_RNA from 1 species